UCUCUUGGUAGUUGAUGAUUUUGAAAAAUGAAGAAGACUCAGAACAGAGGAAUGAUGAUGAUGACCCAAACAACAACAACGACAUCGAUGGUGCAGGAUAUGGUGCAAGUGAGGAUUGGAGGAGGACGUUGUUUGUUUUACUCUCAUCUGAUUUGACGACAAGUAAAGAUUGGGGAGGUGGUUCGGAAGAACAACGUUUCAUAAGAAAAAAACUGGUCGGCAUGCGUGCUCACAGGUUAACAACAUGAAACUGUUUCAAUGGUGAUUGAUUAUUUUCGACUCUAUUCAAUAUGUCUUCCUCCUUGUCCACUUCAAAUUCUCCAUCCAGAGGUGUUACUAGCUUCUUCAGAUGGAGAUUUAAGGCUCCCUUUGAUCCGAUGGAAAAAUUCUCUUCUUGAUCU